rnacentral:lncRNA from 1 species
GAAAAAAAAAAAGACAGCUUUGAACAAAAGUCCACAGCCAGUGUGUUCCAAGUCCCUGCUCAGGGCUGACUGUGGCAGGGGACACUCUCCUGCUGGCUCUCUCUGUCCACACUUAGCUGGCUCCUGUCCUCAGGUGCACGGCCACACCCUUGCACCCAACCUUGAUCCUCUGAUGGGGAAGGUCCCAGAACUUGUCUGCUGGGACAGGCCUCACCCCCAAGAGCUCUGGGCAGUACUGAGAAGGGGAUUGCAGAGGCAAAGCUAGGCUAGGUCUUGGAGGCUGGUGUAAGGCGGUGCGUGAAGGCAGGACGCUGAUGGGAGAGACUGGUCGAAGAAAAGCCGAAAUGGAUUCUCCGUGCCUUGGAUGGAGGAAGAGGGGCGAAGCGCGAGCUUCUUCAACUCGUUCUGUCCGGUGAGGAGUGAUCCAGCUUGGGCUGACGAGGGGCUCCGGAGCCUUCACGUUCAGUGCUUUUUACCUGCCAAUCAAACUGCUACAAGACAACACCCUGAUCUGGCAUGGUCGCAUCGAACCUAGAAAUUGUACUCUCCUCAAGAUCCGCUUGAGAGAAUCUGACUGAUGGCUUUGGUCUGAGAGUUCAGACAUCUCUUGUGAUACUAAGAAAGAUUCCUUUUCCAUUUGCUGGAUCCUCCUGUUUUGUCAUCCCUGAGUCCUGUAAGAAGCUCAUCAGGAGGUCCCCUGCGCUGGAAG